AGGAUAAUAGUUUUAAACAACAUUUAAUUUGCAAUUAAAAAAUAUUGAAUCAAUCAAUUUAUCUUA
rnacentral:tRNA from 1 species